rnacentral:lncRNA from 1 species
AAGAAAUCCUCGUCGGCGAGAAUCUCAGAAUACUCGGUGCGGGCGAGGGUCAUCAACAAGGCUCCCUUUCUCUGCCAUCUUCUUCGAGCUCCAAUCCCUCAAAAGCUGGGUUGUUGUUUAAUGGCGAUGGCUUUGCUCUGCAUCGGCGGCGAUGGAGGUGUCUUAGUAGGCGAGGGUUUCUCCGAUCGAGAGAGAGAGGCGAGAGAGAGAGGGGGCAUCUCAAAUAUUGUUGGACGUGAAAAUUACACACCACUAAAGAAGGGCAUAUAUGUAUUUUCCUAGCUAUCCUAGACAAGUCAGCAUCGUAAAAAUAGGAAAAAUGGCGAGAGCAAAAUAGGUAAAUGAAAUUAGAACAAAAAAAUUGAUUGAAAACGGGGAUUUGGGCUUUAUUUAUAGGAAUGGUAUAAGUUUAACGUACUCAAAUUUAAAUUAAUUGACCUUUUUAUUAGAUGGAUUAAACAUGGGAUUGAAUUACAAUAUAAUGAAUUUCAUAUUCAACAUUGUAUUUUGCCAAUAGAGAUAACAAUGGGCGUGUUGGGACAAUUUUAGCUUAAACCAUAGUAUUCUAUUAGGAAAAUCCUACUCAUAGCCUACCCUACACCACUUAGCCUAGCCCAAUAUUUUUCUUUUCAUCGCUUUUGAUUUUAAAAGUAUUAUUGUAUAAUGAAAAGAAUAUAAAUUAUAAUGAAAACAGGCAUAUACUAACCAUUUAACACGUGAAAAUAUUUUUCUUAACACCUGAAAAAGUAAAUUUAAUAAUGACAACAAUUUUCAAGUUUUUCUGUGACCUAAACUAAUAAUUACUUUUAAUCAAUCGGGUUGGAAUUAGGGAUCCCGAAUGCCUAAACCCACUCACAACACAACAAACCAAAAGCCAAGCAGAUUUUAGAAUCUAUCUCUACCCGUGGCGGACUCAGAAUUUUGUUCCAAUGGAGGCGGAAUACUUUCUUGAGCAUUGCAUAUAAGUACGAGGAUAAAUUUCGAAUAAAAAUAUCGAUAAUAACAUUCAAAAUUCCAUAUUAACAACUUUUCUUACACCAAACAACACUCAAAUGAAUAUCAAACUACAAACAUCUCUCUUCGUUGUUUCAUAUUCCUGAAACAUUUGCCAAAAUAAAUUCAUUAUUUAUUGUACCGAUAUGUCUCUUUCAAGUGUCUUUCACCAGCAAUCAUUUAUCCACCAUCUCCAUAUCGAUGGUCAGUUGCAAAACUUUCCAAGCAAUAAGACAAUGGAUGAUAACAUCCUUCUUUUUUUACUAAUUUUUUUUUAUAGCAAGACCACUAAUCGCCUUUCACUUCAAAACGUAAUCAUUAGAGCUUACACAUAGAAAGUCGGUCUCACGUUGAUUAUCAAGCAUCAUAGCUAAUCACCAAAUUCUACACAUUCAAGUAUUUAAAUAUACAACAAAUGUGCAUCUGUGCAAACGGAUCGUGUUCUCCACAUAACCAAAAAACAAACAAAUUAAUUCUGAAACAAGUAUGUUCGGUGAAAAUUAUACUUUUUUUUUGAGAAAAAGACUGUUUAAUACUCAAAAAUAGUGGCAUAGUUUGUAGAUAGAGGUUUUGAAUGAGAGGGCUAAUCAUCUACAUUUUACUCAAAAAUAUACUUUUAUUUCUCCACAUCUUCAUUUCGAAAAUUCACCUAAUCGUCUAUCAGCCUAAUAAUCCCAUUUGACCCAACAGCCAACAACCCCUUCUCCCAUGUACAGAUGCUCACGACCAUCACUAAUUUCCUAAAGAUACCCUUUAUCCAAAAUCAGGUCUAUUAAAUCAGAAAUGGAAAGAAUAAGAAUACGUCAACAUCCAUUUAUCCAAAAUCAGAUAGGUAUAUUCAACGAAGAUAGAAAGAAUAUACUAAACUAAAAAAAAGAAAAAAAUCAACAAAAAAUAAUGGAAGAUGUCGGAGACUCCGGAGGAGGAGUUUGGGAAGUCGUCGUCAGUGCUGUAGCUUCGGGGUACUUCCUUCCUCCCCUCUUGUUGCCGGAUCACGGAGGAAUGGAAGGUCGUUCGUCGACUAGUCGGAGUACUACUUCCUCGCAUGGAGAGAGCGAUCGGAGAGUGAGCCGUUCCCGGAGGCGGAGAGUCGUGAGAGAGAUUGACUGGUUUCAGAUCUGAGUUGAGAUUGUUUUUGGAAUAAGGUAUUUUGGGGUUAGAACUUGUUAGAGUUACGGUAUUGCCGUAUGGUUCCUUGCCUCUUGGGCCAAAUUGGACUUGGGCGUGUAAGGCCAAUGCCUGUUCACUGUUUGGACGUUUGGGUUGGGCGGUAAGGCUAAGCUUUUUUUUUUUUUUUUCAAAACAUCCGUGGCGCGGCCACUGCGGCUGGCCACACCUCGGUCCACCACUGCCAUACUCCUCAUUCCCACACCAUCAUAUAUUUGCAUCUCCUCCUAUUAGGAUGAGUUCAAAGCAAUGCCCAAAUGUCCCACCCAUUGCCAUCCUUAUUUGUCACCAAUAAUUCGUUCUUUAUUUCUUAAUCCUAUUUUGGAAUAAUAAUUUUGUG